rnacentral:rRNA from 1 species
CCUACGGGAGGCAGCAGUCGAGAAUCAUUCACAAUGGGGGAAACCCUGAUGGUGCGACGCCGCGUGGGGGAAUGAAGGUCUUCGGAUUGUAAACCCCUGUCAUGUGGGAGCAAAUUAAAAAGAUAGUACCACAAGAGGAAGAGACGGCUAACUCUGUGCCAGCAGCCGCGGUAAUACAGAGGUCUCAAGCGUUGUUCGGAAUCACUGGGCGUAAAGCGUGCGGAGGCGGUUUCGUAAGUCGUGUGUGAAAGGCGCGGGCUCAACCCGCGGACGGCACAUGAUACUGCGAGACUAGAGUAAUGGAGGGGGAACCGGAAUUCUCGGUGUAGCAGUGAAAUGCGUAGAUAUCGAGAGGAACACUCGUGGCGAAGGCGGGUUGCUGGACAUUAACUGACGCUGAGGCACGAAGGCCAGGGGAGCGAAAGGGAUUAGAUACCCGGGUAGUC